GACAGAGGGGGCAAGCGUUGCUCGGAAUUACUGGGCGUAAAGGGCGCGUAGGCGGGAUGGCAAGUCGGUCGUGAAAUCCCUCGGCUCAACCGAGGAACGUCGAUCGAUACUGCUGUUCUUGAGGAUUGCAGAGGAGACUGGAAUUCCCGGUGUAGCGGUGAAAUGUGUAGAGAUCCGGAAGAACACCGGUGGCGAAGGCGGUCUGCUGGGCAGUUGCUGACACUGAGGCGCGACAGCGUGGGGAGCAAACAGG
rnacentral:rRNA from 1 species